rnacentral:rRNA from 1 species
AUCAAACGUAUGCAUCGAUAGCAUGCUAGUUGCACGAGUUUAGACUCGUGGCGGAAGCUCAGUAACACGUGGUCAAACUGCCCUAUAGACCAGGAUAACCUCGGGAAACUGAGGCUAAUCCUAGAUAACGCUCCUCUGCUGGAACUGCAGGGAGCCGGAAACGCUCCGGCGCUAUAGGAUGUGACUGCGGCCGAUUAGGUAGACGGUGGGGUAACGGCCCACCGUGCCGAUAAUCGGUACGGGUUGUGAGAGCAAGAGCCCGGAGAUGGAUUCUGAGACAAGAAUCCAGGCCCUACGGGGCGCAGCAGGCGCGAAAACUUUACACUGCACGACAGUGCGAUAAGGGAACUCCAAGUGCGAGGGCAUAACGUCCUCGCUUUUGUGUAUCGUAAGAUGGUACACGAAUAAGAGCUGGGCAAGACCGGUGCCAGCCGCCGCGGUAAUACCGGCAGCUCAAGUGAUGGCCAAUUUUAUUGGGCCUAAAGCGUCCGUAGCCGGCCAGACAGGUCCGUCGGGAAAUCUGCUCGCUCAACGAGCAGGCGUCCGACGGAAACCCGCUGGCUUGGGACCAGAAGACUCGAGGGGUACGUCUGGGGUAGGAGUGAAAUCCUUUAAUCCUAGACGGUCCGCCGAUCGCGAAAAGCACCUCGAGAGGAUGGAUCCGACGGUGAGGGACGAAAGCUAGGGUCACGAACCGGAUUAGAUACCCGGGUAGUCUUAGCUGUAAACGAUGCUCGCUAGGUGUGGCACAGGCUACGAGCCUGUGCUGUGCCGUAGGGAAGCCGAGAAGCGAGCCGCCUGGGAAGUACGUCCGCAAGGAUGAAACUAAAGGAAUGGCGGGGAGCACACAACCCGAUUCCCUCC